rnacentral:rRNA from 1 species
CCCUUAGAUGUUCUGGGCCGCACGCGUGCUACACUGAUGCAUUCAACGAGUCUAAAACCUGGUCUGAUAGGGCUGGGUAAUCUUUUGAAAGUGCAUCGUGAUUGGGAUAGAUUAUUGCAAUUAUUAAUCUUCAACGAGGAAUGCCUAGUAGGCGCAAGUCAUCAGCUUGCGUCGAUUACGUCCCUGCCCUUUGUACACACCGCCCGUCGCUCCUACCGAUUGGGUGUGCUGGUGAAAUGUUCGGAUCGGCCGUUUGUCGCGGUUUCCGCGUCAUGUGGCUGAGAAGUUCAUUAAACCCUCCCACCUAGAGGAAGGAGAAGUCGUAACA